rnacentral:rRNA from 1 species
AGGGAAAAGCUCAAAUUUAAAAUCUGGCGGUCUUUGAUCGUCCGAGUUGUAGUUUAGAGAGGUGCUUUCCGCGCUGGACCGUGUACAAGUCCCCUGGGAUGGGGCGUCAUAGAGGGUGAGAAUCCCGUCCAUGACACGGACUACCAGGGCUAUGUGAUGUGCCUUCAAA